GUGCCAGCAGCCGCGGUAAUACGUAGGGACCAAGCGUUGUUCGGAUUUACUGGGCGUAAAGGGUGCGUAGGCGGCGCGUCAAGUCAGUUGUGAAAUCUUAAGGCUUAACCUUAAACGGUCAACUGAUACUGUCGUGCUAGAGUGCAGAAAGGGCAAUCGGAAUUCUUGGUGUAGCGGUGAAAUGCGUAGAUAUCAAGAGGAACACCUGAGGCGAAGGCGGGUUGCUUGGCUGACACUGACGCUGAGGCACGAAAGCUAGGGUAGCAAACGGGAUUAGAUACCCCCGUAGUCC
rnacentral:rRNA from 1 species